UGGGGAAUGUUGCACAAUGGGGGAAACCCUGAUGCAGCAACGCCGCGUGAGUGAAGAAGGCCUUCGGGUUGUAAAGCUCUGUUUACGGGGAAGAAAAUGACGGUACCCGUGGAGGAAGCCACGGCUAACUACGUGCCAGCAGCCGCGGUAAUACGUAGGUGGCAAGCGUUGUCCGGAAUUACUGGGCGUAAAGGAUGCGUAGGCGGAUGAUUAAGUCAGAUGUGAAAUACCCGAGCUUAACUUGGGUGCUGCAUAUGAAACUGAUGAUCUAGAGUGCAGGAGAGGUAAGUGGAAUUCCUAGUGUAGCGGUGAAAUGCGUAGAGAUUAGGAAGAACACCAGUGGCGAAGGCGACUUACUGGACUGUAACUGACGCUGAGGCAUGAAAGCGUGGGGAGCAAA
rnacentral:rRNA from 1 species